UGCAGUCGAGCGGNCAGAUGGGAGCUUGCUCCCUGAUGUCAGCGGCGGACGGGUGAGUAACACGUGGGUAACCUGCCUGUAAGACUGGGAUAACUCCGGGAAACCGGGGCUAAUACCGGAUGCUUGAUUGAACCGCAUGGUUCAAUUAUAAAAGGUGGCUUUUAGCUACCACUUACAGAUGGACCCGCGGCGCAUUAGCUAGUUGGUGAGGUAACGGCUCACCAAGGCAACGAUGCGUAGCCGACCUGAGAGGGUGAUCGGCCACACUGGGACUGAGACACGGCCCAGACUCCUACGGGAGGCAGCAGUAGGGAAUCUUCCGCAAUGGACGAAAGUCUGACGGAGCAACGCCGCGUGAGUGAUGAAGGUUUUCGGAUCGUAAAACUCUGUUGUUAGGGAAGAACAAGUACCGUUCGAAUAGGGCGGUACCUUGACGGUACCUAACCAGAAAGCCACGGCUAACUACGUGCCAGCAGCCGCGGUAAUACGUAGGUGGCAAGCGUUGUCCGGAAUUAUUGGGCGUAAAGCGCGCGCAGGCGGUUUCUUAAGUCUGAUGUGAAAGCCCCCGGCUCAACCGGGGAGGGUCAUUGGAAACUGGGGAACUUGAGUGCAGAAGAGGAGAGUGGAAUUCCACGUGUAGCGGUGAAAUGCGUAGAGAUGUGGAGGAACACCAGUGGCGAAGGCGACUCU
rnacentral:rRNA from 1 species